rnacentral:rRNA from 1 species
CGGAGGCAGCAGUGGGGAAUAUUGGACAAUGGGGGCAACCCUGAUCCAGCAAUGCCGCGUGAGUGAUGAAGGCCUUAGGGUUGUAAAGCUCUUUCGGCGGGGACGAUGAUGACGGUACCCGCAGAAGAAGCCCCGGCUAACUUCGUGCCAGCAGCCGCGGUAAUACGAAGGGGGCGAGCGUUGUUCGGAUUUACUGGGCGUAAAGGGCGCGCAGGCGGUCUUGAAAGUCAGGCGUGAAAGCCCCGGGCUUAACCUGGGAAUUGCGCUUGAUACUCUGAGACUGGAGUACGGGAGAGGAGAGUGGAAUUCCCAGUGUAGAGGUGAAAUUCGUAGAUAUUGGGAAGAACACCAGUGGCGAAGGCGGCUCUCUGGACCGUAACUGACGCUGAGGCGCGAAAGCGUGGGGAGCAAACAGGAUUAGAUACCCUGGUAGU